rnacentral:tRNA from 1 species
GGUGGCAUAGCAGUUAAGCAUUUGGCUGCUAACCAAAAGGUCGGCAGUUCGAAUCUACCAGCUACUC